rnacentral:tRNA from 1 species
GAAGGUAUAGCCCAGUGGUGGAGCACAUGCUUAGCAUGCACCGUGUCCUGGGUUCAAUCCCCAGCACCUCCA